AGUACUAACCAAGCCAUAUUUGCUAAGCUAGCACGUACACUGGCACGGCAAGCCAUAUUUGCUCGAUUCGAACACGUAGACACUAACCAGACUUCGCUAGUCCAGAUUACUGCUAAAGAUGAAUAUAGCGGAAAGAUGAAUAGCGGUCAAUAGAGUAGUACGUGUUUGCACAGGCCUGCGAUGCAGACACAUCCAAUGUGGUGGCACUUACACGAUCAGUUGGAGGUAACCUACCCUCGAAGCAACCCGGGUCUCCUCGUUUUAACUGAAGUUCCUGAUACAUGUCAUGCGCACAAGGAGAAAAACAAACAGCAUAUAGAGCCGUUCAGCGCAUACUUGGCCAUGAGUUACUCUCAUUUCUCAUGUUCUCCUCUUAUUAGCACGAGAAGAAAACUAGCACUGCCUGCACUGGUAAUCUACUUGGAGGAGCUAGCCAUCUAUUUAUUGGCAAAGUGCAUGCCUUGAUAUGGCUUGUGAAAGGACGUGUUGUUAGAAAUCGUUCAAACCUGACAUGGAUACAUACCAUGGGGUUGUUUGAAGGAUGUUCAAAACUAGACCAUGUUGAACAGAGGCUGUUUGGGUAUGAAGGCUCUGUUUGAGAGUACGUUUUUUCUUAACAUCCUUGAAAUGACCUCAUUUUUUCCAUGACCUUGGAUGACCAAUUUUUUGAAUCCGUCAAAUUGCAUUAAAUUUCCUGGAGUUUGGGUAUGAAGUCACCAUGCCACGUUGUUUUGGUAUAUGAAGUCACCAUGACGUUGUUUUGGUAUAUGAAAUUUCCUGAGAGUAUGUUGAACAGAGGGUGUUCGGGUAUGAAGUCAUCAUGCCACGUUGUUUAGGUAUAUGAAACAUUUUGCAUUUCCUGGAGUUUUCUCUAUAAAAAUGGCUGAUAAAUGGAUGGACGUGUCACAACUUACAUAUGUUGACGGAAAUCAUUCAAAUAUGAGAUGGAUGUAUACCAUGGGCAUGGCCACUUUCCUGCAAAAAUUACGGUCAUUUCAAGGAUGUUUAAAACUAUACCAUGUUCAACAAAGGGUGUUCGGGUAGGCCAAAACACUAGAGCAUGCUCUUUCUUGACAACCUUGAGUUGACCCCAAAUGUUUUUUGCAUGGACUUGUAUGACCAAUUCAUUAUUCCUAGUUGUUUUGGUUUUCAGCAUUUUUAUUUUCUGAAGUUUCUUGGUUGAAAAGAAAGUCGGUAAAUAGCCGGACGUGUCGCAACUUGCAUACGGUGUCAACAGUUGUACAAACCAGAAUUGUAUGCCUACCGUUGGUAUGCCCACCUGCUUGAAAAGUUGAGGUCAUUUGAAGGAUGUCCAAAAAUAGACCAUGUGCAAGAGAGGGUGUUCAGGCAGGGCCAAAAGGGUCCAUCUAAAGGAUGCUCUUUUUUGAAUCCAUCAAAUGGCAUUAAAUUUAUCAACUUUUUUUGAAACACAAACAUUUCCUAAAUUUCCAGACAAAAAAUAUUC
rnacentral:lncRNA from 1 species